UGGGGAAUUUUGCACAAUGGAGGAAACUCUGAUGCAGCGACGCCGCGUGAGUGAUGAAGAUCUUCGGAUUGUAAAACUCUGUCCUUAGUGAAGAUAAUGACAGUAACUAAGAAGCAAGCCCUGGCUAAAUACGUGCCAGCAGCCGCGGUAAUACGUAUGGGGCAAGCGUUGUCCGGAAUUAUUGGGCGUAAAGGGUACGUAGGCGGUUUAAUAAGUCCUAAUUAAAAGGCUAUGGCUCAACCAUAGUAUGGUUAGGAAACUGUUGAACUUGAGUAGAUGAGGGGAAAGUGGAAUUCCAUGUGUAGCGGUGAAAUGCGUAGAUAUAUGGAGGAACACCAAUGGCGAAGACAACUUUCUGGAAUCAAACUGACGCUGAGAUACGAAGGCGUGGGGAGCAAACAGG
rnacentral:rRNA from 1 species